UUUAACAUUUCCGCAAAAUAGUCAUGAGGUCGGGAAAUUAGAACAUUCGCCUCACGAAGUUUGGCAAAAGCCGCCUUUACAGAGCUCACACCUUGUUUAUAAAAGGCCAGUUCACGGGCAAGAUCAUCCUCAACAUUUUCAAUUAUUAUAGGCUCCUUAGUAGUAACAGCUUGGUUUUCAACAAACGAAAUAUCAUCAGGAUAUUUAAUUCGUUCAUAGAUGUUCUCUAGUGCAACAGUGUUAUUUAUAGCUAAUUUUCUUUUUCUAAUCAAAUCAGCGUCUUCUUCCAACUCAAUUCCUUCAAGAUCAGAAAGUUCAACUUCAUCUGAUCCCUCAGAUUCGUUCUCUUGAUCAGCUGUAUCAGCUGUUUCAAUAAUAGGAGAUUUAAUGGUAUUGAUCAUUUCUUUCUCAUUUAAUGCCUCAACAGAAGUAGAAGAUUCAUUGCUUUCCUUGUUUUUCUUUUCCUUCAUAGCAGCUUUAGCUGCCUUUUUCUGAGCUCUUCUUUGCUUUGAUUCUAUUCCUGCCAUCGUUGUAGUCUAGUGUGUAUUCUACACAAAGCUGAAUUUGAAUAUUUUUCAAAGGUUUUGAAAAAUUUGCUUUGUGCUACUUUGAUUAAUACAAUCUACGAUUAGGCUAACGGUGACAAAGAUUUUUACUAUUGCAGUUCACAUCAAAUAAUAAAGAGCACAUUUAGAAUCGCUAAGCUGAUUAACGUUGCGUUAUAUUACUCUUAGUCUUCAUUUAGGUUGUACGGAAGGCAUUUAAUAAAUCCUUAACGUAAAUUUUAACCC